GCGCCCGUAGCUCAGCAGGAUAGAGCGUUAGGUUCCGGUCCUAAGUCAGUCGGGGGUUCGAAUCCCUCCGGGCGCG
rnacentral:tRNA from 2 species